rnacentral:piRNA from 1 species
UGGUGGCAUUACCCUGAUGAUGGGCUGAAGU